UACGUAGGGUGCGAGCGUUAAUCGGAAUUACUGGGCGUAAAGCGUGCGCAGGCGGUGCUGUAAGACCGAUGUGAAAUCCCCGGGCUUAACCUGGGAACUGCAUUGGUGACUGCAGCGCUGGAGUAUGGCAGAGGGGGGUGGAAUUCCACGUGUAGCAGUGAAAUGCGUAGAUAUGCGGAGGAACACCGAUGGCGAAGGCAAUCCCCUGGGCCUGCACUGACGCUCAUGCACGAAAGCGUGGGGAGCAAACAGG
rnacentral:rRNA from 1 species